GUCUGCGAGACCGACUUGGACGGAGCCGAGCUGAGGCUCGGCUUCCUGCUGGUGGUCAGGGUUUUGGCAACUCCCCGGUGUGAGAGGGGUAGGGAGUGCUCCCGGCGGCGACGGGGCCGAGUUCACCAGCGGCCGGGGCAGUAGUCGAAGGCCCGGCGCGGCAUGUCCUGGGUGCCGCGGUGCGGGCAGUGAACGCGCGGCGGGCGGGAUGGGCCGGCGCCGGGCGCCAGAGCUGUACCGGGCUCCGUUCCCGUUGUACGCGCUUCAGGUCGACCCCAGCACUGGGCUGCUCAUCGCUGCGGGCGGAGGAGGCGCCGCCAAGACAGGCAUAAAGAAUGGCGUGGUGAGAGCGCAGGGCCACUGGGGCUGGGUCUUGCUGCGGGCUGGCGGCGAUUCAGGGUGGCCGGGGGGUCGCGGGGCGGGCCACACUCCAGCUUCGGGCCCUGCCCACUUCUGUUGGGAAGACCCGCUUGCCUGACGCCCAGGCGCGAAUUUCAGUCGAGAACUCAGCGGGCGGAGGAGAGGCUUUUAAGGUAAAGUGAAAACUGCACACAGCUGCAGAGUCGCCAGGAACGCUUCAGCUCCGCCUCAGAGCAGCUCCAGGGGUCUUAUACUGGCCUUUUCCGGGAGGUCUUGCCUGCCCUCUAGCAGCGGCGAGAGUGGUGCAUUUGGGUUUAGGCUAAGUUCCUUCCCUCUCCUGAGCUUCACCCUGUUCUGUAAAAUAGAGGUAAUAAUCCCAGUCCUGCUCACUGUGUAGAUUUGUGAGGCCCAAAUGAGAGAAAAAAGACUGGAGAAACCCUUGUGAACUAGAACGUGCAGAAAGCAAAGGGGUAAGACAUCAGACUCUUCCCUAAACGUGCUCUCUGGGCACCCCUGAACUUGCUCAUCCGGGUUCCCCCUCCCACAGCACUUUCUGCAGCUAGAGCGGAUUAAUGGGCGCUUGAGUGCCUCCUUGCUGCACUCCCAUGACACAGAGACACGGGCCACCAUGAACUUGGCACUGGCUGGUGACAUCCUUGCUGCAGGGCAGGAUGCCCACUGUCAGCUCCUGCGCUUCCAGGCACAUCAACAGCAGGGCAACAAGGCAGAGAAGGCCGGUGAGGAGCUCCCUCUCUACCCCCUUGGGGAAAGGGUUGAACGAGUAAGGUCACUCUUGGUGUCUCUAAAGAAGUGGGUCUGGAAGUAGGGUUUUGGUAGCAAGCUAGAAGUUGUAUGGGCACCUGCCAUGGAGAGAGGGGCCAGUACUCCUUACUGUAGAAGCCUGGAACCUGGCCAAGUGUUUGUGUUACAGGUUCCAAGGAGCAGGGGCCUCGACAAAGGAAGGGAGCAGCCCCAGCAGAGAAGAAAUGUGGAGCGGAAACCCAGCACGAGGGGCUAGAACUCAGGGUAGAGAAUUUGCAGGCGGUGCAGACAGACUUUAGCUCCGAUCCACUGCAGAAAGUUGUGUGCUUCAACCACGAUACUACCCUGCUUGCCACUGGAGGGACAGAUGGCUACGUCCGUGUCUGGAAGGUGCCCAGCCUGGAGAAGGUUCUGGAGUUCAAAGCCCACGAAGGGGAGAUUGAAGACCUGGCUUUAGGGCCUGAUGGCAAGUUGGUAACCGUGGGCCGGGACCUUAAGGCCUCUGUGUGGCAGAAGGAUCAGCUGGUGACACAGCUGCACUGGCAAGAAAAUGGACCCACCUUUUCCAGCACACCUUACCGCUACCAGGCCUGCAGGUUUGGGCAGGUUCCAGACCAGCCUGCUGGCCUGCGACUCUUCACAGUGCAAAUUCCCCACAAGCGCCUGCGCCAGCCCCCUCCCUGCUACCUCACAGCCUGGGAUGGCUCCAACUUCUUGCCCCUUCGGACCAAGUCCUGUGGCCAUGAAGUCGUCUCCUGCCUCGAUGUCAGUGAAUCCGGCACCUUCCUAGGCCUGGGCACAGUCACUGGCUCUGUUGCCAUCUACAUAGCUUUCUCUCUCCAGGUAAUGGGUGGAGGUUGGCAUGGCCCUGUGGGUGGACUGUAGGCCUGUCUCUACCCUGAGUUUGCAGGAAGGAGUCUGGCCCAUUCUAUCGAGGGAAAUCCUGGGGGUGGGGAACAUGCUUUCCAGAAAGAGAGUUCCCAGCUAGGCCUUUCCUCACUGGUAUUCCUUCUGCCCACAGUGCCUCUACUACGUGAGGGAGGCCCAUGGCAUUGUGGUGACGGAUGUGGCCUUUCUACCUGAGAAGGGUCGUGGUCCAGAGCUCCUUGGGUCCCAUGAAACUGCCCUGUUCUCUGUGGCUGUGGACAGUCGUUGCCAGCUGCAUCUGUUGCCCUCACGGCGGAGUGUUCCUGUGUGGCUCCUGCUCCUGCUGUGUGUCGGGCUUAUUAUUGUGACCAUCCUGCUGCUCCAGAGUGCCUUUCCAGGUUUCCUUUAGCUUCCCUGCUUCCUGGGAAUCAGGAGCCUGGACACUGCCAUCUCUAGAGCAGAGUGGAGGCCUGGACUCCCUUUGCUCACUCCAUUCGGGUCCACAGCUGAGGUUGCCUCUGACAAGAUGAAUGGGCACUGCCUGCCCUUCUAGUGAAAAGGCUUGGUUAUGGCCCUGCGUGACUCCAGGUCCCAGGAACCUUGCCUUCAUCAUCUGUGGAUCCAUCCAGAACAGCGGUAUCUGAAGCCCAGGCCAUACUCCCUGCCUCCUUUCUUCUGCCUACCAGAGGCUCCAGAGUUGAGCUUGUCCUUUAUCUAGAAACAUGUGAAGAUGCCCAAGAGCCUGGAGGCACUGCUGUCCUUCCUGCAGAAACAGUUUCUCCUCCUCCCCUCAGCCUUGUGACCAGUUCCUCUUCACAUGAAGCCCCUGGCAUUUGCUGGGGAAGGGACUGGCCUGGUACUUGCUGUUAGGGCAGGAAGGGGCAAAAGGAAGACUUGGGUAGUAAUCUGGGGGUUCAGAUGGGUAGCACUAAGCCAGCUGGCCUAAAGAUGCAAUAAGUUCCUAGGUAGUCUACCCUUACCUUGAGGAAUGGGAAAAUGAACCUCAGCCCAUUAGGCAGGAAAAGUUGAUAUUUAAUAAACAAGGAAAGAGUGAACUGAGACCCCAAA
rnacentral:sRNA from 1 species